ACUGUCCCUAGAGGUGUUGCAGGUAUGGUUGCUGUGUCACUUAUCCAUCAGGAGGUGGCAGAGAGGAGAAAGGGUAUGUCUAUAUUCAGUGUUCUGACCUAUGGACAGUUGAAUGAUUAGUAGCUUAACAUU